GGGAAUUUUGCACAAUGGGGGCAACCCUGAUGCAGCGACGCCGCGUGAUUUAGAAGGCCUUCGGGUUGUAAAAAUCUUUUGUAUAGGAAGAAAAUGACAGUACUAUACGAAUAAGGUCCGGCUAAUUACGUGCCAGCAGCCGCGGUAAUACGUAAGGACCGAGCGUUGUCCGGAAUCAUUGGGCGUAAAGGGUACGUAGGCGGUUAGAAAAGUUAGAAGUGAAAGGCUAUAGCUCAACUAUAGUAAGCUUUUAAAACUGUUUAACUUGAGAGAUGGAAGGGAAAGUGGAAUUCCUAGUGUAGCGGUGAAAUGCGCAGAUAUUAGGAGGAAUACCGGUGGCGAAGGCGACUUUCUGGCCAUUAUCUGACGCUGAGGUACGAAAGCGUGGGUAGCAAACAGG
rnacentral:rRNA from 1 species